CAGAGAAAUUUUUGUAUACGCGCACGGCCCGCGAGUCUCGCAACCGCCACCGGCGCCUUUGGUUCGGCUAUAAAUAGUUGGGUGCUGGGAGGGCAAGCUCCUCACUGCCAGCCAGACGUUUCCAAGCCAUUAGUUGUUGGUAGCACACAAGCUAAGCUUUAGAUAACCUUCUUCUUCUUCCUGCUUCUGUCUCGAAGGCAGCUUCGGAGCUCGGAGCGCCCAGCCAGCAAUGGCCAUUGCCGGUGCUCUUUUCCUCCUGCUCGGUCUCCUCGCCGGGGAAGCCGCGGCGGGCGGCUACGGCGGGUGGCAGAGCGCGCACGCCACGUUCUACGGCGGCGGCGACGCGUCCGGCACAAUGGGCGGCGCGUGCGGGUACGGCAACCUGUACAGCACCGGGUACGGCACGAACACGGCGGCGCUGAGCACGGCGCUGUUCAACGACGGCGCGGCGUGCGGGUCCUGCUACGAGCUGCGGUGCGACAACGCCGGGCGGUCGUGCCUGCCGGGCACCAUCACCGUGACGGCCACCAACUUCUGCCCUCCCAACUACGGCCUCCCCAGCGACGACGGCGGCUGGUGCAACCCGCCGCGGCCGCACUUCGACAUGGCCGAGCCCGCCUUCCUCCACAUCGCGCAGUACCGCGCCGGCAUCGUGCCCGUCGCCUUCAGGAGAGUGCCGUGCGUGAAGAAGGGCGGCAUCCGGUUCACCAUCAACGGGCACUCCUACUUCAACCUGGUGCUGGUGACCAACGUGGCGGGCGCGGGGGACGUGCGGUCCGUCUCCAUCCGGGGCUCGCGGACGGGGUGGCAGCCCAUGUCGCGGAACUGGGGCCAGAACUGGCAGAGCAACGCGGACCUGGACGGGCAGGCGCUGUCGUUCCAGGUCACCGCCAGCGACGGCCGCACCGUCACCAGCAACAACGCCGCCCCCGCCGGAUGGCAGUUCGGCCAGACCUUCGAGGGCGCCCAGUUCUGAUUUCUGAACGAACUUCUUCUGAUCGUCGAUGAAGUGGACGAUUAGUCAGUCAGUCAGUCAAUUAAUUAAUUACGCAAGGAGCGGAAGCCCCAACCCCUCUACAGCUAUGCUGGCCUCAUCGACAGAUUGGUGGAAGGGGAAGAACAAUCAGCCAGGAGCAUGUGUACAGAUUGAUGGAAGGGGAAGAACAAUCAGCCAGGAGCAUGUGUUAUAGCACCGGUGACACGCUCACACGAGGUACUCUCUAGACAUAUCCCCAAAUCCAUCCUCCCUUGGUGAGUUUUGUUUGAUCUGUUCUUCUUUUCCCCUUUUCAGAAGAGAAUUUGGAUCUGUUCUUCAAUAUAUUUGCAUUUCACCUUUUAAUUUGUGAGAGGCAUUCAAAUAAUAAUUUUUGUUUCAUCCCUGGAUUUGUUCCUGAACUGUACUCUUUCCUUGUAGAUACCAUGCACUUCCCAUUUUGCAAUCUCGUGAACAGCAGUUCAAGCUCU